UUUGCUCGGCCUCUUGUUUACGCCGCUGUAUUUUAACAUUGGUGAUAAUGACGGCGUUACUUCCGGGGUCCUCACUGAGAGUGCCGUACAAGAACGUGUGUGUGAGCAUAAACAGAAGGUAGAAGAAGAAGAAGACGAGUCAGAUUUAAGAGAGGACUGUCGCUUGGACCUGCAGCAAAGUGUCUUCAUAAAUUCUAAUACACAGUCGCUCCCUGUGGGAAACAGCGAGAGAGAGGGAGAAAGAAAGGGAAUGAAUGCAUUUCCUUGUUAUCUAUCUGUCUCUCACUGUCUUUCCCCACUGAGGGAAUAAAUGUCUCCCCCUCUCCUGUGUUUUCCUCGGUGUGGGCUGACAGCGCAGCAGAUGGUGGUUUAAGCAGUGAAUUUAUGAGCGCCACAGUCUUAAUGUUGCAGAAAGAAAAGAGAAGGACUCGCAUCAAACGCCACUGACAAAUGCACUCGCUAAUAUUAAUGCACUCCUCAUUCAUCCAACAUGCUGCCUAAUUGCUUUCCUGUACACAGUAAUGUGGCACCUGCUGCUCAAGUCCGGCAUCAGGAGAGGUGGAGAACUGGGGGAGCGCUGGUGGAGGCUCGGAGGGAAAAAAAAGAGAAAAGGAUGAAAGAAAGAAAGAAAAAAAAGAGGUGGAGAGCACUCGGUAAACAAUCACUCAUGAGAGGAAGAAGAGAGAAGCCGUCACAUUGUCACGAGAUACUUUGGUGUGGAAGUGGAACAUCAAACGUCCAAAAAGAGAGACUGGGUCAAACAUUUUCUGAAGACAUCGUGGAUUUAAACAGGUGUGGAUUUUAUUAGGUUUCUGGCCUUGGGAGGUGAAGUGGAGGAAAUCAAUCACACAGUGUGUGACACACGGAGUCCUUUACUGACUGCUGAGACUGACAUAAUGACAAAUACUCAGUAAUGUUCUCGUUCCAAGCACAAAGACUUGCUCCCGUUGAUUAAAUUCUCGGGGAAAUUCUCCAAACUUUAACACACACACACACACACACACAUGUGUGUGCAGUUAAGAUCUCAGUCCACCUCGUCCUGUUUGUGGUGCAAUGAAGGGAACGAGGAGCCGACGUGCCGUGUUCUUCCACACCUUCAAGUUCCUCUGA